rnacentral:rRNA from 1 species
UACGAAGGGGGCUAGCGUUGCUCGGAAUUACUGGGCGUAAAGCGUGCGUAGACGGUUAUCUAAGUCGGAUGUGAAAGCCCCGGGCUCAACCUGGGAAUUGCAUUCGAGACUGAAUAGCUAGGGUACGGUAGAGGGAAGUGGAAUUUCCGGUGUAGCGGUGAAAUGCGUAGAUAUCGGAAGGAACAUCAGUGGCGAAAGCGACUUCCUGGACCAGUACCGACGUUCAGGCACGAAAGCGUGGGGAGCAAACAGG